GGUUUCUAAUCACUGCAUUCUCGACAAGAAGCAAUCAUAAUAGCUUCAUUUUAAUAGCAAUGAAGAAUCGACCCGCUCUCGCACUGGAUGCGGCAGUUGUGGAAAAGUUCCAGCAGGACUCGAAGUCUUAUCAAAUCAACAGCAACAACUCUCUGCAGUUCCGCGCCUUCCUCUUCAAUGAGGCCGGCAUGUACACAAAAGACGGCCGCGAGUUGCCGAGUACUGUGAAGAAGGACGACAUUGACUACUCAUCGAAGCGCAACGUCGGCGCUGGAGCGAGCGGCGACGUCUUUUUCGCGCGCCUCAAAAAUGGCACAUCGAUUGCCUUGAAGCGUAUUCCCAUCUCUUCAAAGGCGCAUAGAGACGAGGUGGACCGUGAGCUGCAGGUUUUCAUGGCCCGCGGCGAUUCUCCGUAUGUGAUGAACAACUACGGCGCCUUUUGGGAUGCUGAGGACGACGCAAUUGUGAUCCCGAUGGAGUGGAUGCCGUACACAGUGAAGGACCUCGGACUGUUUUGGGGCGGGCUCAACGAGGCACUCCUGAAGGCAGUCUUCUUCCAGGUGGUGUCUGGCCUGGUUUACCUGCAUGAUGUGAAGCGUGUUCUGCACCGUGACCUGAAGCCGAGCAACCUGCUCAUCAGCGAAACUGGCCACGUAAAGAUUGCUGACUUUGGCGUGUCGAAGCUGAUUCAAACGCUGGCUGUGUCGUCAACGUACGUUGGCACCAUGUGCUUCAUGGCCCCCGAGAGGUUGGAGCAAGGCAUGUACGGUUUUAGCAGCGAUGUCUGGUCACUGGGACUCACCAUGAUCGGUGCUGUCACCGGCAAGAACCCCUGGGCGCCGCCGGAGGAGAUGAAUCUCUACCAGCUGCUCGGUAAGAUGGCCAACGGAAGCACACCGACGCUUCCCAAGUCCGGCGCGUUUUCCGACGAUGUGAAAGACUUUGUGAAACAGUGCCUCGAGCGUGACCCGGACACCCGCCCAACGUGCGCAGAGCUGCUUCAGCACCGAUUCUUCGAUGGGGUAACCACCGAAAGUGCUGUGGCGAUGGUCAAGAUGGCAGUGGAGCAGAUGACCCGCCUCAUCAAUAACAACGCACAGAAGGAGAAGGAAGUGACUCGAUCACAGGAGUCUUUGGAGAAGGAUGUAAAAGCCCAGCUUGAUAAGAUGGUGCUGUAGUGGCGGAGAGAUUUAGCUUCUUCACUUCUGCCUUGUAUCUGCUUUCCUCUUACAAGGAAAGGUGGUGUGCAGCGCUUUUCUUCAAUGUUGGCUGCUUUUUAUUUUCCACCUGCUUUCCUUUUUUUUCUUCGUUCUCUUUCGCAUGGACUUGCCCUACUCCUAGGUUGUGUUCUAGUCUGCUAUUUAUGACUGUCGUCUUUUCAUUAUUUGUUGUUGUUCUUUACUACGAAGGGCCGCUGUGGCAACGCCAUGUACAAGGCAGCAGGAUUCACAAAGGUAUGGCAUACACUCUCUGCCACGUGUGUGCUCACAUGAAGCGCACCUUUCUUCCAAUUCUACUACUCAACCCUUCCGUGCUGUUUCUCGCGAUACUGCCACACCCCACUGCGUGCGUGUGUGUAGGAUACCGGAGUGAGAUUUUUGCGCUUCUUCGCGGAGGUUGCUUUCGUUCUGCUUUACGUUUUUGUUUAAUAUUGGCGUGCUGGUUCCACCUUUCACUUCCCUCCCUGCCUACCCUUUCUAUACCCUUGCGUGACUGGGGAGAGGAAAAGAGGAAGGAGAUGACGUGCGCGAGUGUGCCUGUUGUUACAGCAUGAUGACGAUGCGCUGUUUUGCCUUUUUCCCGGUGGUUUUGUUUCGGUUUUACCUUCUUCCCUUUUCUCUCGUUCUCUCACAAGCAGACCUUCGAGAUUAUACACACUCAUGCCUCCCUUUUCCUUUUUGAGGCGUCGAAACACAGGAACACAUGUACAUACGAAGAAGAAAGGUGCGCUGUGCCAAGUUUCACGCACGGUGCGUUCGCCGGCGAAUGAUGUAGGCACACCACGCAGUAUUGCUCUCUGCAUCUUUGCCGCUAUCCUUCUUUUGGUCGCUCCCCUUCCUUUCUCCUUCGCCUACGCCGGGCUCCUGGCUCAG
rnacentral:misc_RNA from 1 species